rnacentral:rRNA from 1 species
GCAAGUCGAGCGGUAGAGAGGUGCUUGCACCUCUUGAGAGCGGCGGACGCGUGAGUAAAGCCUAGGAAUCUGCCUGGUAGUGGGGGAUAACGCUCGGAAACGGACGCUAAUACCGCAUACGUCCUACGGGAGAAAGCAGGGGACCUUCGGGCCUUGCGCUAUCAGAUGAGCCUAGGUCGGAUUAGCUAGUUGGUGAGGUAAUGGCUCACCAAGACGACGAUCCGUAACUGGUCUGAGAGGAUGAUCAGUCACACUGGAACUGAGACACGGUCCAGACUCCUACGGGAGGCAGCAGUGGGGAAUAUUGGACAAUGGGCGAAAGCCUGAUCCAGCCAUGCCGCGUGUGUGAAGAAGGUCUUCGGAUUGUAAAGCACUUUAAGUUGGGAGGAAGGGCAUUAACCUAAUACGUUAGUGUUUUGACGUUACCGACAGAAUAAGCACCGGCUAACCCUGUGCCAGCAGCCGCGGUAAUACAGAGGGUGCAAGCGUUAAUCGGAAUUACUGGGCGUAAAGCGCGCGUAGGUGGUUCGUUAAGUUGGAUGUGAAAUCCCCGGGCUCAACCUGGGAACUGCAUUCAAAACUGUCGAGCUAGAGUAUGGUAGAGGGUGGUGGAAUUUCCUGUGUAGCGGUGAAAUGCGU